AAUCAACGCUGGCGGCGUGCCUCAGACAUGCAAGUCGAACGCGAAAGUCCCCCUCGGGGGACAAGUAGAGUGGCGCACGGGUGAGUAACACGUAGGUAAUCUACCUUCGGGUGGGGAAUAACAAUCGGAAACGGUUGCUAAUACCGCAUAAUAGCAGCGGCACCUAAUGGUGACAGUUGUUAAAGCGGGGGAGUCGCAAGAUCUCGCGCCUGAAGAGGAGCCUGCGGCGGAUUAGCUAGUUGGUAGGGUAAUGGCCUACCAAGGCGACGAUCCGUAGCCGGCCUGAGAGGGCGGUCGGCCACACUGACACUGACAUACGGGUCAGACUCC
rnacentral:rRNA from 1 species